AUGUAUCAUUUUGGAGAAAGAUUUUCAUUUCAUCUAUUCGAUAGUUAGACUUGAAAUUUACCAUUUUCCCCACCUGUAUAUUAAAAAUAAUCAAUAAUCUCUUGUUUCAGGAGGUGAAUGUGAGUUUGUGAUGCUAUGUGAGGUUGGCAGUUUGGUCAUUUGAUAUUUGAAGAUAUGAUGAAACCAAUAUGAUCUUUAGCCAUCGUGAAUAAUGACCUUUGUACAAAUGUCUGCAUUAUGAUACGAUAGAACUUUAUUUAUCCCAGGAGGGAAAUUGAUCUUCCAACAGUCUUAAAGACACAAAAUACAUGAAACAUGAAAUUAUAGUGACGAGUGGAAAGGAUAGUGGAUGUGCAAACAUUGGGGAGGGCGGGGGAGAGAGGAGUCGGUCUCAGUCUACCUCAGGGACAGAAGGGGGAGGAGUUGUACAGUUUGAUAGUUACAGGGAGGGCAAGUAUCACAAUAUUACAUUUUUUGUGUGUUGUCAUAACAAAAUUCUUUCCUACCACCUUGCAAAUGUGAACUCUUGACUUUCCAUGUAAUUCAAGUCUGUCAUCCUUUAUACCAUUGAACUAAAUCAUUCUGCAUCUCA